AGUUUGAUCCUGGCUCAGGACGAACGCUGGCGGCGCGCCUAACACAUGCAAGUUGAACGAGCGAGAGAGAGCUUGCUUUCUCGAGCGAGUGGCGAACGGGUGAGUAACGCGUGAGGAACCUGCCUCAAAGAGGGGGACAACAGUUGGAAACGACUGCUAAUACCGCAUAAGCCCACGGCUCGGCAUCGAGCAGAGGGAAAAGGAGCAAUCCGCUUUGAGAUGGCCUCGCGUCCGAUUAGCUAGUUGGUGAGGUAAUGGCCCACCAAGGCGACGAUCGGUAGCCGGACUGAGAGGUUGAACGGCCACAUUGGGACUGAGACACGGCCCAGACUCCUACGGGAGGCAGCAGUGGGGAAUAUUGCACAAUGGGGGAAACCCUGAUGCAGCGACGCCGCGUGGAGGAAGAAGGUCUUCGGAUUGUAAACUCCUGUUGUUGAGGAAGAUAAUGACGGUACUCAACAAGGAAGUGACGGCUAACUACGUGCCAGCAGCCGCGGUAAAACGUAGGUCACAAGCGUUGUCCGGAAUUACUGGGUGUAAAGGGAGCGCAGGCGGGAAGACAAGUUGGAAGUGAAAUCCAUGGGCUCAACCCAUGAACUGCUUUCAAAACUGUUUUUCUUGAGUAGUGCAGAGGUAGGCGGAAUUCCCGGUGUAGCGGUGGAAUGCGUAGAUAUCGGGAGGAACACCAGUGGCGAAGGCGGCCUACUGGGCACCAACUGACGCUGAGGCUCGAAAGUGUGGGUAGCAAACAGGAUUAGAUACCCUGGUAGUCCACACUGUAAACGAUGAUUACUAGGUGUUGGAGGAUUGACCCCUUCAGUGCCGCAGUUAACACAAUAAGUAAUCCACCUGGGGAGUACGACCGCAAGGUUGAAACUCAAAUGAAUUGACGG
rnacentral:rRNA from 1 species